rnacentral:rRNA from 1 species
GUAAACUCCUUUUCUUGGGGACGAAUAAGGUCAGUAGGUAAUGGCUGACCGAUGACGGUACUCCAGGAACAAGCGCCGGCUAACUUCGUGCCAGCAGCCGCGGUAAUACGAAGGGCGCAAGCGUUAUCCGGAAUUACUAGGCGUAAAGGGCGUCUAGGCGGUCGGUCAAGUCAGUCGUGAAAGUCCUUGGCUAAACUGAGGAAAGUCGACCGAUACUGAUCGGCUAGAGGGACGUAGAGGUAAGCGGAACUCUCGGAGUAGCGGUGAAAUGCGUAGAGACCGAGAGGUACCCCGAUGGUGAAGACAGCUUACUGGGCGUCUCCUGACGCUGAAGCGCUAAGGCCAGGGGAGCGAAGGGGAUUAGAUACCCCCGUAGUCCUGGCUUCAAACUAUGUGGGCUUGGUGUCGGCUCCCGAUAGAGAGUCGUUGCCGGAGCUAACGUGUUCAGCCCACCGCCUGGGGAUUACGUCCGCAAGGAUGAAACUCAAAGGAAUUGACGG